AGUGAACGCUGGCGGUAGGCCUAACACAUGCAAGUCGAACGGCAGCACAGUAAGAGCUUGCUCUUACGGGUGGCGAGUGGCGGACGGGUGAGGAAUACAUCGGAAUCUACUUUUUCGUGGGGGAUAACGUAGGGAAACUUACGCUAAUACCGCAUACGCCCUACGGGUGAAAGCAGGGGAUCUUCGGACCUUGCGCGAUUGAAUGAGCCGAUGUCGGAUUAGCUAGUUGGCGGGGUAAAGGCCCACCAAGGCGACGAUCCGUAGCUGGUCUGAGAGGAUGAUCAGCCACACUGGAACUGAGACACGGUCCAGACUCCUACGGGAGGCAGCAGUGGGGAAUAUUGGACAAUGGGCGCAAGCCUGAUCCAGCCAUACCGCGUGGGUGAAGAAGGCCUUCGGGUUGUAAAGCCCUUUUGUUGGGAAAGAAAAGCAGCAGGUUAAUACCCCGCGGUUCUGACGGUACCCAAAGAAUAAGCACCGGCUAACUUCGUG
rnacentral:rRNA from 1 species